AACAGGUCCAUCUCGGAUGGAACUUUAAAAUGGCAGAGACACAACUAGAGUCCUUCAGCCAGUGUUCUCAUUCGAUUGAUUAUUUGGAGUAGCUUUGGAAACUUCAAAAACGGUCAAGCUUUAGGUAUCUGACAUUAUUCUAGAGAUGAACUAUAUUUGGAUAUGAGAAAAAGUACAAGCAAGAUCCACGAUAAGACUAUGUUCCACUUGUGGGAGCAGUUAUGAGAACUAAGUAUACGAACCAGAAAGUUAGGAGCUUAUAAGCUGAGUAUCCAAUGUUUCUGAAACAUGUUUGGCCUCAAAAGAUGCCAGGCCCUUUGAUUUGCUAAAAAAAGAAGCUCAUGUUAAGAUUAGAUACACUCUGAAUCCAUAUUCUAAAGACUUAUGAAGAGGAAUGGUUUUAUAUCCCAGUCGGUGGGUCCUUGCCAAACACUGAACAAAAGAAUCUCGCCGUUGGUCUGCAGCAAUUGAAGGAACCC